rnacentral:rRNA from 1 species
GAGUUUGAUCUGGCUCANGGAUGAACGCUAGCGACAGGCCUAACACAUGCAAGUCGAGGGGCAGCAUUUCUAGCUUGCUAGAAGAUGGCGACCGGCGCACGGGUGAGUAACGCGUAUGCNACCUACCUUAUACUGGGGGAUAGCCCAGAGAAAUCUGGAUUAAUACCGCAUAACAAUGUUUUAUCGCAUGGUAAGAUAUUUAAAACUCCGGUGGUAUAAGAUGGGCAUGCGUAGCAUUAGUUAGUUGGUGAGGUAACGGCUCACCAAGACAAUGAUGCUUAGGGGGUCUGAGAGGAUAGUCCCCCACACUGGUACUGAGACACGGACCAGACUCCUACGGGAGGCAGCAGUGAGGAAUAUUGGUCAAUGGACGAAAGUCUGAACCAGCCAUGUCGCGUGCAGGAUGACGGCCCUAUGGGUUGUAAACUGCUUUUUUACAGGAAUAAUUGUCGAUACGUGUAUCGAUUUGAAUGUACUGUAUGAAUAAGGAUCGGCUAACUCCGUGCCAGCAGCCGCGGUAAUACGGAGGAUUCGAGCGUUAUCCGGAUUUAUUGGGUUUAAAGGGUCCGUAGGCGGUCUUUUAAGUCAGUGGUGAAAUCCCAGAGCUCAACUCUGGAACUGCCAUUGAAACUGAAAGACUUGAAUAUGGUUGAGGUAGGCGGAAUACGUUAUGUAGCGGUGAAAUGCAUAGAUAUAACGUAGAACACCAAUUGCGAAGGCAGCUUACUAAACCAUUAUUGACGCUGAUGGACGAAAGCGUGGGGAGCGA